rnacentral:tRNA from 1 species
AGAGAUUUAAGUUAAUAAAACUAAUAGCCUUCAAAGCUUUAAUUGGCACCUAACCAAUCUCUA